UACGAAGGGGGCUGGCGUUGCUCGGAAUCACUGGGCGUAAAGCGCACGUAGGCGGACUCUUAAGUCGGUGGUGAAAUCCUGGAGCUCAACUCCAGAACUGCCUUCGAUACUGAGAGUCUCGAGUCCGAGAGAGGUGAGUGGAACUGCGAGUGUAGAGGUGAAAUUCGUAGAUAUUCGCAAGAACACCAGUGGCGAAGGCGGCUCACUGGCUCGGUACUGACGCUGAGGUGCGAAAGCGUGGGGAGCAAACAGG
rnacentral:rRNA from 1 species